rnacentral:miRNA from 1 species
UUCUCAGGUUAGACAGUCCUAG